AAGUCGUAACAAGGUAACCGUAGGUGAACCUGCGGUUGGAUCAUUAACAAUGGUUUUCAAACCUUUACACCCUGUGCACUAUAUUGUUCUUGGUGUUCUUUGGAGCACCGACUUUUACAUACUUUUUAUUUUAUGAGUCUUGAAUUUGUAUUAAAACAUUAAAACUUUUGACAACGGAUCUCUUGGCUCUC
rnacentral:misc_RNA from 1 species